rnacentral:miRNA from 1 species
UCCUGUUGGGAUUUGUGGAACU